rnacentral:rRNA from 1 species
UGUUAAAGAUUAAGCCAUGCAUGUGUAAGUAUAAAGACCAAGAAGGAUGAAACUGCGGACGGCUCAUUACAACAGUUAUAGUUUCUUUGGUUAAUGGUAUAAGGAUAACUCUGUUAAUUGUAGAGCUAAUACUUGAGACGAUCCCCACGCUGCGAGCGUGGGGUGGCCUUACGGGGCUGUAAUUGCACCUUGUUGAAUGAGGGUGCAAGGACAAUUGUAGAAGUCGAAGACUUUGACAAGUAACCAAUGAGAAUAUCUGACCUAUCAACUUGUUGGUAAGGUAGAGGCUUACCAAGGUAGUAACGGGUAACGAGAAAUAAGGGUUUGAAAUCGGAGAGGGAGCAUUAAAAACGGCUACCACUUCCAAGGAAGGCAGCAGGCGCGAAAAUUACCCACUUGAAGAGCUCAGAGGUAGUGACGACAAAUAACCAAUGCGGCCCACAGGGAACGCUUUUGGGGAUGAUCAGGAGAUAACUGUUCCUGAGAACGCGAUUGGAGGGCAAGUCUGGUGCCAGCAGCCGCGGUAAUUCCAGCUCCAAUAGUGUAUAUUAAAGUUGUUGUGAUUAAAAAGCUCGUAGUUGAAGGCCACCAAGGGUGACGUAGCAAGCCCGGCGCAAGCAGGGAGUGCGACGUUAGACUCUUCACGUUCGGGUUCGUGGCAUUUCGGUGUUACGCAUUCGUCAGUACUUUGACCAAAAGUGCGUGCUCAAAGCAAAGCUUAGGCUAAUGGAACGUGAAGCAUGGGAUACUGCAGAGGAGAUUGGCGGGAAGGGGCUGCCCCCGGGCAGCGCUGGAAGGCGAAUUUCGAGAGGAGGAUUAAUAGAAAGAGAUGGGGCCAUUCAUACGGAAAUGGGAGAGGUGAAAAUCCGUGAUCAUUUUAGGAUGAACGAGGGCGAAAGCAUUUGGCUCAGAUCUAUUCAUUAAUCAAGAACGAAAGUUAGGGGAUCGAAGACGAUUAGAUACCGUCGUAGUCCUAACUAUAAACGAUGUCAACCGAGGAUUGGAUAGAACUUCAGUCGUGCGCAUACGUGCGCCCGGCGGCAUACUUCUGUUCGGGACUCACAGAGAAAUCUGGAGUGAAUGGACUUCAGGGGGAGUAUGGUCGCAAGAGUGAAACUUAAAGGAAUGACGGAAGGGCACACCAGGAGUGGAGCCUGCGGCUUAAUUUGACUCAACACGGGAAAACUUACCAAGACCAAACACUGUAAGGAGUGACAGAUUAAGGGAUUUUUCAUGAUUCGGUGGGGAGUGGUGCAUGGCCGUUCUUAGUUGGUGGAGUGAUUUGUCAGGUUUAUUCCGAUAACGAACGAGACUUUAAUCUUUAAUUAGGAGGCGCUGUUUCGGUAGCGUCGAUCACUGAUGACCUUCUUAAAGAGACAUGCCCCAAUUGUCCUUCUGUCCACCCCCACGGGGAGAUGGUGCAGUAGGAAGAAGGGGUGGGAAGAAGAGCAAUAACAGGUCUGUGAUGCCCUUAGACAUCUUGGGCUGCACGCGUGCUACAAUAGGGGCCAUAAAGAGCAAGCAAAGUUGGCGAGAAGCUGUGGGGCUGUCUUUCGGGGCGGGCCUGCGGACCUGGCGCCGACGACCGAACCCGAGAGGGGGAGGAAAACUCGCAAGGCCCCUGUAACAGGGAUUAAUGAUUGGAAUUAUUUGUUAUGAACGAGGAAUUCCUUGUAAAAUUGCGUCAUUAUCGCAAGUUGAAUACGUCCCUGCCCUUUGUACACACCGCCCGUCGCUCCUACCGAUUGAGUGGAUAGAUGAAGGUUUAGGAGGAACUGCAAAGGCCGAAUGGAUCUAAAUCUCUCUACUUAGAGG